rnacentral:rRNA from 1 species
AGAGUUUGAUCAUGGCUCAGGAUGAACGCCAGCUACAGGCUUAACACAUGCAAGUCGAGGGGCAGCAUGUUGGUUGCUUGCAACCAAUGAUGGCGACCGGCGCACGGGUGAGUAACGCGUAUCCAACCUACCCUUGUCCAUCGGAUAACCCGUCGAAAGGCGGCCUAACACGAUAUGCGGUUCACAGCAGGCAUCUAAGGUGAACGAAAUGUGAAGGAGAAGGAUGGGGAUGCGUCUGAUUAGCUUGUUGGCGGGUAACGGCCCACAAGGCGACGAUCAGUAGGGGUUCUGAGAGGAAGGUCCCCCANAUUGGAACUGAGACACGGUCCAAACUCUACGGGAGGCA